rnacentral:rRNA from 1 species
CCGACCAGCCAAAUACCUCAUAAAGGGACCGUCCUGCUUGUUUAAACGAAUUCGCCCUUAGAGUUUGCCCUGGCUCAGGACGAACGCUGGCGGCGCGCCUAACACAUGCAAGUCGAACGAGAGAGAGGGAGCUUGCUUCCUCAAUCGAGUGGCGAACGGGUGAGUAACGCGUGAGGAACCUGCCUCAAGGAGGGGGACAACAGUUGGAAACGACUGCUAAUACCGCAUAAGCCCACGGCUCGGCAUCGAGCAGAGGGAAAAGGAGCAAUCCGCUUUGAGAUGGCCUCGCGUCCGAUUAGCUAGUUGGUGAGGUAAUGGCCCACCAAGGCGACGAUCGGUAGCCGGACUGAGAGGUUGAACGGCCACAUUGGGACUGAGACACGGCCCAGACUCCUACGGGAGGCAGCAGUGGGGAAUAUUGCACAAUGGGGGAAACCCUGAUGCAGCGACGCCGCGUGGAGGAAGAAGGUCUUCGGAUUGUAAACUCCUGUUGUUGAGGAAGAUAAUGACGGUACUCAACAAGGAAGUGACGGCUAACUACGUGCCAGCAGCCGCGGUAAAACGUAGGUCACAAGCGUUGUCCGGAAUUACUGGGUGUAAAGGGAGCGCAGGCGGGAAGACAAGUUGGAAGUGAAAUCUAUGGGCCUCACCCAUAAACUGCUUUCAAAACUGUUUUUCUGAGUAGUGCAGAGGUAGGCGGGAUUCCCGGUGUAGCGGUGGAAUGCGUACGUAUCGGGAGGAACACCAGUGGCGAAGGCGGCUACUGGGCACCAACUGACGCUGAGGCUCGAAAGUGUGGGUAGCAAACAGGAUUAGAUACCCUGGUAGUCCACACCGUAAACGAUGAUUACUAGGUGUUGGAGGAUUGACCCCUUCAGUGCCGCAGUUAACACAAUAAGUAAUCCACCUGGGGAGUACGACCGCAAGGUUGAAACUCAAAGGAAUUGACGGGGGCCCGCACAAGCAGUGGAGUAUGUGGUUUAAUUCGACGCAACGCGAAGAACCUUACCAAGUCUUGACAUCCUGCGACGCACAUAGAAAUAUGUAUUUCCUUCGGGACGCAGAGACAGGUGGUGCAUGGUUGUCGUCAGCUCGUGUCGUGAGAUGUUGGGUUAAGUCCCGCAACGAGCGCAACCCUUACUGUCAGUUACUACGCAAGAGGACUCUGGCAGGACUGCCGUUGACAAAACGGAGGAAGGUGGGGAUGACGUCAAAUCAUCAUGCCCUUUAUGACUUGGGCUACACACGUACUACAAUGGCGUUAAACAAAGAGAAGCAAGACCGCGAGGUGGAGCAAAACUCAGAAACAACGUCCCAGUUCGGACUGCAGGCUGCAACUCGCCUGCACGAAGUCGGAAUUGCUAGUAAUCGUGGAUCAGCAUGCCACGGUGAAUACAUUCCCGGGGCUGUACACACCGCCCGUCAAGGCGAAAACGCGCCGGGUAAAUUCAUUCGCCCUAUAUGAGUCUAUCAUGGACC